rnacentral:rRNA from 1 species
AUGGAGCACUGGACCGAGGGUCUGGUGAAUAUUGCCGCAGUCAUCGACGAGGAGCUGGCGCAGCUGGGGAUGGAGGACUUUGGGUAUCCCUCCGACGAGAAUCUCCAACCCAGCGCCAAGCUCAGCCUGUUCUUCAAGGGCGUGGCGACGACACUCCAGCGGCUCCGGGAAAGGAUCCCAAAGCAGUUGGUCGACGAGUUGCGCAAAAUCUGCGCCGGAGUUUUCCAGAAGGUGCUGAUGAAGGUGGCCUUCCGCAAUCUAGGCCUCAGCUUCACCAACGUCCUCAAGUCCUUGCCGUCAGACGCCGAUCGGGACGCACUCAAGGCCCUUAUCGCACCCAUUGUGGACAAGGUGAGCGAGAUCAAGAGGGUUGAGGGCGAUCGCGUAGACUAG